AGAGUUUGAUCCUGGCUCAGAACGAACGCUGGCGGCAGGCCUAACACAUGCAAGUCGAGCGCCCGCAAGGGAGCGGCAGACGGGUGAGUAACGCGUGGGAACGUGCCCUUUGGUUCGGAAUAUUCCCGGGAAACUGGGAGCAAAACCGGAUAAGCCCUUCGGGGGAAAGUUUACGCCAAAGGAUCGGCCCGCGUUAGAUUAGGUAGUUGGUGGGGUAACGGCCUACCAAGCCUACGAUCUAUAGCUGAUCUGAGAGGAUGAUCAGCCACACUGGGACUGAGACACGGCCCAGACUCCUACGGGAGGCAGCAGUGGGGAAUCUUGGACAAUGGGCGCAAGCCUGAUCCAGCCAUGCCGCGUGGAUGACUGAAGGCCCUAGGGUUGUAAAGUCCUUUCGACGGGGACGAUAAUGACGGUACCCGUAGAAGAAGCCCCGGCUAACUUCGUGCCAGCAGCCGCGGUAAUACGAAGGGGGCUAGCGUUGUUCGGAUUUACUGGGCGUAAAGGGCGCGUAGGCGGAUUUUUAAGUCGGGGGUGAAAUCCCGGAGCUCAACUCCGGAACUGCCUUCGAUACUGAAAGUCUGGAGCACGAUAGAGGUGAGUGGAAUUCCGAGUGUAGCGGUGAAAUGCGUAGA
rnacentral:rRNA from 1 species